rnacentral:rRNA from 1 species
UACAGAGGGGGCAAGCGUUGUUCGGAAUUACUGGGCGUAAAGGGCGCGUAGGCGGCCCUCUAAGUCGAACGUGAAAUCCCCGGGCUCAACCCGGGAACUGCGUCCGAUACUGGAGGGCUCGAAUCCGGGAGAGGGAUGUGGAAUUCCAGGUGUAGCGGUGAAAUGCGUAGAUAUCAAGAGGAACACCUGAGGUGAAGACGGGUUGCUGGGCCGACACUGACGCUGAGGCGCGAAAGCCAGGGGAGCAAACGGG